AAGAAUCCAUAGAGAGGAGACACAAAGGAGCAACAAUGAGAGGGAGUGAGUGUGAAGAGCAGGACUCUCACUUCAUGAGCCUGCAGUCUCUGCAAAAAUAGACCUGGAGAUUUUACCAAGAGGAGAGACCAAAAAUCAGAAAAAAUCAGCAUAAAAGAGCUUCCAGUUAAGCUAGUAAUUCAGAUGGCAACAGUUCACGAAACAGAUUGAGGGUUAUCUGUCAGUUUUUCCUGAAAUAAGACCCAGCCAGAUACUGAGCUGCGUAAAAUAGACCUAUUCCUUAGGAAUUACCAAAAGGAGAGGACAGGCAACUCCAUUCUGUCCUUUUCUCCAUAAAUGACUUGUCUUACUUCCUUUUUCUGCACUCUUACUCCCAGACCCACUAAAAACACCAACAUCCUAGAUGACUGCUUGGGCAUCCAAGGCAAUGGCUAUAGAAAUACCUGAUUCACAGCCCAUCCACCCAGGAUGACUACAUAGGAAAGCCCUCCUACUGGGUCUCAUCUCAGUGAAGUGGACUCAGAAAAGAGAGGUGGCCAGAUACACCGUGUUUUCAUAUUCAAGAGGACUGCAUGGGAUGACUUGUGGCAUACAGGCACAUAAUUUAAUGCAGGCCCUCUCCAUGGUCAUGGUGGGCUCCCGUCAGGACAGAGCCUGAAGCACUGGGCUGGAAUUCACCAGGAUCAGUGUCCACGAGGUCACUCUUCUUUAUCAGCAGACCAACAACAUAAUUUCCUACCUUUGUUACAUUUGCCCCAUCAUGUUCAACUCAAAGUAUCGAUAUUGGGACUCCAGGACACUUACACCAAA